AUGUUGUCCUGUCUCUCUGUCCGUCCGUCCCUCUCUCUGUCCGUCCCCCUCUCUCUCUCUCUCUGUCCGCCCCUCUCUCUCUCUGUCCGCCCCUCUCUCUCUCUCUCUGUCCGCCCCUCUCUCUCUCUCUCUGUCCGUCCGUCCCUCUCUCUCUGUCCGUCCGUCCCUCUCUCUGCCCGUCCCUCUCUCUGUCCGUCCCUCUCUCUCUGUCCGUCUGCCCCUCUCUCUCUGUCCGUCUCUCCCUCUCUCUCUCUCUUUCCCUGUCUGUCCCUCUUUCCCUCUCUGUCCCUCUCUAUGUCGGUCUCUCCCUCUCUCUGUCUCUCUGUCCGUCCCUCUCUCUUUCUGUCCGUCCCUCUCUCUCUCUGUCUGUCCCUCUCUCUCUCUCUGUCCGUCCCUCUCUCUCUCUGUCUGUCCCUCUCUCUCUCUGUCCGUCCCUCUCUCUCUGUCCGUCCCUCUCUCUCUCUCUGUCCGUCCCUCUCUGUCGCUCUCUCUGUCCGCCCCUCUCUCUCUGUCCGUCCCUCUCUCUCUCUGUCCCCCCGCCCCUCUCUCUCUGUUCGCCCUUCUCUCUCUCUGUCUGUCCCUCUCUCUCCCUCUCUGUCCGUCCCUCUCUCUCUGUCUCUCUCUCUCUGUCCGUCCGUCCCUCUCUCUCUCUGUCCGCCGCUUUCUCUCCCUCUCUGUCCGCCCCUUUCUCUCUCUCUGUCCGUCCCUCUCUCUCUGUCUCUCUCUCUCGGUCCGCCCCUCUCUCUCUCUCGCUGUCCGCCCUUUUCUCUCCCUCUCUGUCCGUCCCUCUCUCUCUGUCUCUCUCUCUCGGUCCGCCCCUCUCUCUCUCUCGCUGUCCAACCCUCUCUCUCUGUCUCUCUCUCUCUGUCCGCCCCUCUCUCUCUCUGUCCGUCCCUCUCUCUCUCUGUCCGUCCCUUUCUCUCUCUGUCUCUGUCUCUCUCUCUGUCCAUCCCUUUCUCUCUCUGUCCGUCCCUCUCGCUCUCUCUCUGUCCGUCCCUCUCUCUCUCUGUCCGUCCCUCUCUCUCUCUCUGUCCGUCCCUCUCUCUCUCUCUGUCCGUCCCUCUCUCUCUCUGUCCGUCCCUCUCUCUCUCUCUGUCCGUCCCUCUCUCUCUGUGUCCGUCCCUCUAUCUGUCCGUCCCUCUCUCUCUCUCUGUCCCUCUCUCUCUCUGUCUGUCCCUCUCUCUCUCUGUCCGUCCCUCUCUCUCUCUGUCCGUCCCUCUCUCUCUCUCUGUCCGUCCCUCUCUGUCUCCCUCUCUGUCCGCCCCUCUCUCUCUGUCCGUCCCUCUCUCUCUCUGUCCCCCCGCCCCUCUCUCUCUGUUCGCCCUUCUCUCUCUCUGUCUGUCCCUCUCUCUCCCUCUCUGUCCGUCCCUCUCUCUCUCUCUGUCUCUCUCUCUCUGUCCAUCCCUCUCUCUCUGUCUCUCUCUCUCGGUCCGCCCCUCUCUCUCUCUCUGUCCGUCCCUCUCUCUCUCUCUCUGUCCGCCCCUCUCUCUCUGUCCGCCCCUCUCUCUCUGUCCGCCCCUCUCUCUCUGUCCGUCCCUCUCUCUCUGUCCGUCCCUCUCUCUCUGUCCGUCCCUCUCUCUCUCUCUGUCCGUCCCUCUCUCUCUCUGUCCGUCCCUCUCUCUCUGUCCGUCCCUCUCUCUCUGUCCGUCCCUCUCUCUCUGUCCGUCCCUCUCUCUCUCUGUCCGUCCCUCUCUCUCUCUGUCCGUCCCUCUCUCUCUCUGUCCGCCCCUCUCUCUCUCUCUGUCCUUCCCUCUAUCGCUCUGUCCGUCGUUCUCUCGCUCUCUCCGUCCCUCUCUCAAAUUCAAAUUCAAAUUCAAGCUGCUUUAUUGGCAUGAAAAACAUUGUGUCAAUAUUGCCAAAGCAACAAUGUAUACAAUAUACAUUGUAACAAAAUUAUAA
ensembl:lncRNA